GGGGGCGACAUGGCUUCGACGUGGGUAGCGAAACCUGAGGUGCAUGCCGAGGAUACAGACAGCCUCGUAAAAAAGCCUGUAAAACUAUAGUUGCCAACGACGACAACUACGCACUCGCCGCUUAAUAACCGGUAGAUGCCGUCUGACUGGAGCCGUGCUUGUGCGUCCAGCGCCCCUCGGGGCAUUCAGGCGUCAUAGCUCACAAGAUCGCGAAGAAGCAGGUCCGGGGCCGAUUCGCUAAAACUUAACGGAACCGCCAUCUGCACGCCUUGUCUGUCGAGCAGCAGCCGGUUAAACAUAUCGACAGAUCUAAGCAUGUAGAGCCGAUGGCGGAGUACUUGCGGACGCGGGUUCGAUUCCCGCCGCCUCCACCA
rnacentral:tmRNA from 1 species